GAGUUUGAUCAUGGCUCAGGAUGAACGCUGGCGGCGUGCCUAAUACAUGCAAGUCGAGCGAACAGACGAGGAGCUUGCUCCUCUGACGUUAGCGGCGGACGGGUGAGUAACACGUGGAUAACCUACCUAUAAGACUGGGAUAACUUCGGGAAACCGGAGCUAAUACCGAAUAAUAUAUUGAACCGCAUGGUUCAAUAGUGAAAAACGGUUUUGCUGUCACUUAUAGAUGGAUCCGCGCCGCAUUAGCUAGUUGGUAGGGUAACGGCUUACCAAGGCGACGAUGCGUAGCCGACCUGAGAGGGUGAUCGGCCACACUGGAACUGAGACACGGUCCAGACUCCUACGGGAGGCAGCAGUAGGGAAUCUUCCGCAAUGGGCGAAAGCCUGACGGAGCAACGCCGCGUGAGUGAUGAAGGUCUUCGGAUCGUAAAACUCUGUUAUUAGGGAAGAACAAAUGUGUAGGUAACUAUGCACGUCUUGACGGUACCUAAUCAGAAAGCCACGGCUAACUACGUGCCAGCCCGG
rnacentral:rRNA from 1 species